AGCCACUCAGUGAGUACAAAGCGAACUAUUCUUUCGCCUUUUACUAAAGAAUACCGUGUACUCGUUGCUUUUAAGUGGCAUACGCCUAUUUUUGGAGAGUCUCUUUUUUUUAUUAAAGGGC
rnacentral:snRNA from 1 species